rnacentral:sRNA from 1 species
AGAUUGGCGGUGAUGACCCAAUGAAAUUCAAGCUCAACAGACCGGAUUGUAGGCCUUCUCUUUUCAAGAGAAGGUUUGCGUGUGAAGGAAAGGGGGAUUGCUAUGAGGAUACCAAGCUCCCUCUUCUGAUUAAGGUUGAGGAAACUUGCCGGCAGAAUCGAACCUAAAAAUUAUCAGCCACCACUGAAUACUAGUUUAUGACUUAGAGUUAUCAUUCGGUUCGUGAGCAUAUCUUGGAAUUUGAUGACAAUUUUGAGAGGACUUUGAGAAGGAAUAGGAAUCAGCAAGAUCGUAACCCACCUAUUCCUGAACCUGAGUUUGAAGAAUACUUGAAGAAGAAGAGGAAUAUCCCAACAUGGCAGCGGACAAUCGAACAAUCAAGAAGCUUUCCGCUUCGGGAUUGGACAAUGCCGCUCCCCUAUGCAUCCAGUACCCCAUGGCUACCCUAAGGAAGACGGACGAGUUCGAAUUGAAAUCAAGUUUGUUGCAUCACAUUCCUAAGUUCCACGGGAUGUC